AACGCACGAGACCUGCGGACCUGCGGAAGGAUCAUUAACGAAAAAUUUCCAGUUGGGGGCGAGAGUUUUCUUUCCUCCCAACUUUAACACCAAUCUUUGUGACUUGCCGUUAAAGUCCAUGAUAGUAUCAAACACCAAUCAUACUUUCUAUGUGACUAAAAAGAUACGUUGUAUCUAAAAAUAUAAAAAAAAACAACUUUCAGCAACGGAUCUCU
rnacentral:misc_RNA from 1 species